CGCAGGCGGUCCCGCGCGCCCGGCGUGAAAGCCCCCGGCUCAACCGGGGAGGGUCGUCGGGGACGGCGGGACUUGAGGGCGGUAGGGGCCGGUGGAAUCCCUGGUGUAGUGGUGAAAUGCGUAGAGAUCAGGGGGAACACCCGUGGCGAAGGCGGCCGGCUGGGCCGACCCUGACGCUGAGGCGCGAAGGCGUGGGGAGCGAACG
rnacentral:rRNA from 1 species